CUGGUUGAUCCUACCAAGUAUCCAAGCAUAUGCUUGUCUCAAAGAUUAAGCCAUGCAAGUCUAAGCACACAAACACAGCCGGUACAGUGAAACUGCGAAUGGCUCAUAAUGGCUCAAAAUAAUUUAUGGUUCCUUUGAUCGCUCCAACGUUACUUGGAUAACUGUGGCAAUUCUAGAGUUAAUACAUGCCAAUGAGCACUGACCUCCAGGGAUACGUGCAUUUAUCAGAUCCAAAACCCAUACAGUGUGCCCCUCGGCGCGCCCCAUAUGGGUUUUGAUAACCUCGCGACGAUCGCUGGCCCUCAGUGGCAACAUCUCAUUCGAAUGUCUGCCCUAUCAACUUUCGAUGGUACUUUCUGUGCCUACCAUAACGGGGAAUCAGGGUUCAAUUCUGGAGAGGGAGCCUGAGAAACAGCUACUACAUCCAAGGAAGGCAGGAGGCGCGCAAAUUACCCACUCCCGACUCGGGGAGGUAGUGACGAAAAAUAACAAUACAGGACUCUUUCGAGGCCCUGUAAUUGGAAUGAGUACACUUGGAAAUCCUUUAACGAGGAUCAAUUGGAGGGCAAGUCUGGUGGCAGUAGCUGCGGUAAAUAAAGCACCAAUAGCGUAUCCUAAAGUUGCUGCAGUUAAAAAGCUCGUAGUUGGAUCUCGGGAUCAAGCUGACGGUCCGUCGCAAGGCGAGCUACCGUCUGUCCCAGCCCCUGCCUCUCGAUGCUCUUCGCUGAGUGUCCGGCAGGGUCUGAAGCGUUUACUUUGAAAAAAAUAAAAAGGGGUUCAAAGCAGGCCAGGUAGCAUGAGAGUACCACAGCUAGGAAUAAUGGAAUUGGACUCUAGUUCUAUUUUGUGGGUUUUCUCUCUGAACUGGGGCCAUGAUUAAGAGGGAUGGCCUGGGGCAUUCGUAUUGUGUCGCUAGAGGUGAAAUUCUUGGACCGGCGCAAGACAGACGAAAGCGAAAGCAUUUGACAAGAAUGUUUUCAUUAAUCAAGAACGGAAGACGAUCAGAUACUGUCAUAUUUCCGACCAUAAAUGAUGCCAACUAGCGAUCCGGCGGCGUUAUUCCCAUGACCCGCCAGGCAGCAUCCGGGAAACCAAAGUCUUUGGAUUCCG
rnacentral:ncRNA from 1 species